rnacentral:rRNA from 1 species
UCGUGGGUUGACUUGUCUGCUUAAUUGCGAUAACGAGCGAGACCUUACUCUGCUAAAUAGCCAGGCUAGCUUUGGCUGGUCGCCGGCUUCUUAGAGAGACUAUCGACUCAAGUCGAUGGAAGUUUGAGGCAAUAACA